rnacentral:rRNA from 1 species
UACGGAGGGUGCAAACGUUGCUCGGAAUCAUUGGGCGUAAAGCGCACGUAGGCGGCUCGUUAAGUCGGAUGUGGAAGCCCCGGGCUCAACUCGGGAAGUGCAUUCGAAACUGGCGAGCUUGAAUAUGGAAGAGGGUCGCGGAAUUCCCGGUGUAGAGGUGAAAUUCGUAGAUAUUCGCAAGAACACCAGUGGCGAAGGCGGCUCACUGGCCCGGUACUGACGCUGAGGUGCGAAAGCGUGGGGAGCAAACAGG